CACCAAGACAAGGGGAUCGUAAGUUUGACGCUUAACAAGCUAGGUGGAGGCUUGGAAAGGAAGCGGGUCAAACGAAUCAAGUAUGAAGGAAAAGCGUGUUUCGGAAUGCAAGGAAUGUCUUAUGGAACUCCGGAUGAGGAUCAAGCAAGAAAGGAGAACCGAACACAUGUCUUGAAGCUUCCGCAACGAUCUUUUAUUGUUCUAGUUUAUAAAGUGGAUAUUGUAAACACUUGAAAUUAUAUUUUGGAAUGUUUUAAAUUAUGCAAGAAGUUUAACUUGGAAAA